rnacentral:rRNA from 1 species
CAUAAAAAAUCGAUGCCGGGUGCUUACACAUGCAGUCGAACGAUGAAGCAGAGCUUGCUCUGCGGAUUAGUGGCGAACGGGUGAGUAACACGUGAGUAACCUGCCCUUGACUCUGGGAUAAGCACUGGAAACGGUGUCUAAUACCGGAUACGACCCUCGAAGGCAUCUUCAGGGGGUGGAAAGAAUUUCGGUCAAGGAUGGACUCGCGGCCUAUCAGCUAGUUGGUGAGGUAAUGGCCCACCAAGGCGACGACGGGUAGCCGGCCUGAGAGGGUGACCGGCCACACUGGGACUGAGACACGGCCCAGACUCCUACGGGAGGCAGCAGUGGGGAAUAUUGCACAAUGGGCGCAAGCCUGAUGCAGCAACGCCGCGUGAGGGACGAAGGCCUUCGGGUUGUAAACCUCUUUUAGUAGGGAAGAAGCGAAAGUGACGGUACCUGCAGAAAAAGCACCGGCUAACUACGUGCCAGCAGCCGCGGUAAUACGUAGGGUGCAAGCGUUAUCCGGAAUUAUUGGGCGUAAAGAGCUCGUAGGCGGUUUGUCGCGUCUGCUGUGAAAACUGGGGGCUCAACCCCCAGCCUGCAGUGGGUACGGGCAGACUAGAGUGCGGUAGGGGGAGAUUGGAAAUUCCUGGUGUAGCGCUGGAAAUGCGCAGAUAUGGGGCGGAACACUGAUGCCGAACGCAC